AGUUAUUACGAGUGCUAAAAGCAAGCCAUCGCUCUGGAUACAUUAGCAUGGGAUAACAUCAUAGGAUUCCGGUCCUAUUGUGUUGGCCUUCGGGAUCGGAGUAAUGAUUAAUAGGGACAGNCGGGGGCAU
rnacentral:ncRNA from 1 species